GAGAAAUCACCAGUAACUGCUGCUUCAGCAAUCCCACCUUCGCGACAUUAUGCAUGCUUGUGGUCUGCAGUGGCAAUCUCCACAUUGAUCUAUAGGAUAGCACUUGCAGAGUGUACAGCAGAGGGGAAAGAAUUAUUUCAUGGGGUCUUAUGGCAUGAACAUAUUACUUAAAAAUACAUAUUUAUUUAUAAUUUAUUUGUAAGUUACAUCAACUGUAUUUUUCUUUAUGCCAAUAACAAACUUAUUUUUUCCCUUUUCCAUGUGUUUAAAUAAAACAAACACUAAAAUGUUAAACCGCGGGCUUUUUUCUUUUAGAGGAAUGCUUGAAUUUAACCAUGUGUUUAUUUUCAUGUUCUUGCUGACUCAAGCUACAAUGGUGAUUAUCCCUUGUUCUUUAGAGUCCUAUAUGAUGUUAUUCUGUGAACGGAUUGUGCAUGUGUCAUAGAGUACAUAGUACUGACGUGCAUUUGAAUCAUUAACAUCUAUAAAAGAAUACAAGGGGUGGGCACAUUGGAAUUGCACCUACAUUUAUGCUAGAAUUUCUACCUUAGACAACUUCACACCUUAUAUUUAAUACUACUUAUGAAAAGAAAGUUCCGUUUCUCAACUCUGUCUUCGGCACUAAGGGGUCCUUUUAACUCUAGCUCUUAGGUGACAUUCUUUAUUGGUCAGCUUAACUGUCUGGUUGUAGGAUUUUCAGGAGUUCUGUCAAGAAAAGUUGCAUUUUUUUUAAGGAAAAAAAAGUAA
rnacentral:lncRNA from 1 species